rnacentral:SRP_RNA from 1 species
GCCGGGCGUGGUGGGUCACGCCUGUAAUCCCAGCACUUUGGGAGGCAGAGGCGGGUGGAUCGCCUGAGGUCAGGAGUUCAAGACCAGCCUGGCCAACAUGGUGAAACCCUGUCUCUA